CCAGACUCCUACGGGAGGCAGCAGUGAGGAAUAUUGGUCAAUGGCCGCAGGGCUGAACCAGCCAAGUCGCGUGAGGGAUGACGGUCCUAUGGAUUGUAAACCUCUUUUGUCAGGGAGCAAAGGGCGCCACGUGUGGCGUUUUGCGAGUACCUGAAGAAAAAGCAUCGGCUAACUCCGUGCCAGCAGCCGCGGUAAUACGGAGGAUGCGAGCGUUAUCCGGAUUUAUUGGGUUUAAAGGGUGCGUAGGCGGAAUAUCAAGUCAGCGGUAAAAAUUCGGGGCUCAACCCCGUCGUGCCGUUGAAACUGAUGUUCUUGAGUGGGCGAGAAGUAUGCGGAAUGCGUGGUGUAGCGGUGAAAUGCAUAGAUAUCACGCAGAACUCCGAUUGCGAAGGCAGCAUACCGGCGCCCAACUGACGCUGAAGCACGAAAGCGUGGGUAUCGAACAGGAUUAGAUACCCCGGUACA
rnacentral:rRNA from 1 species